GGGGACCCCGCAGCCCCGCAGUGAGGAUUUAUUCUCUGCAGCGGGGUCCCUUGCUCUUUCCUCAAAGCGGUGCCGCUGUCCCUGCGCGCUCCUGGGCUAGCGCGGCUCCUCUCCGCUGCUAGGGUCUAGGAAAACCGCCCUUUGGGGCUUGAGCUGCCCUCCCCUCUCUCUGUCCUCAGUGCGCGUCUGUUUCUCCCUCUCUGCUUUUUGUCUCCUGGCAUCUUUCUUUACCGUUCAUAUCUGCUUUUGUUUCCUCUUAUUUUUGUCCAUUCCAUCUGGAUUCCCUUCUUCCCUUUUCUCUCUGUCACUUACUUUCUGGCUCCUCCUACUAACAAGUUAUGCUAAUCCCAAAUCUCCCAUUGUUUUCUUCCUCAGCUGUCAGUUAUUUUUGUCUUGGUUUUCUGUUUUGUUUUCCUUCGCUGUCCCUUUCCUUCUCACCUCUGUUUCCCUCCAGCUCCCUCUCUCCGAUUCCUUUCUCACCGGUCUCCGACCCUCUGGCACAGUUUUCAGUUGUUCUCCAGGUCUGGAAGGGGCCGGGCAGACGGCAGCCCCUGGCCGCCCGUGGCCUGCGAAGGAGCCCAGUGGCCUGGAAAGAGACUGGACCGCCCUGGGGAGCGGGGUGACACGGGCCUCUCUCCCUCACCAAGAGGUCUGGUGGGGUCGGUCCACGCCGGAUGGUCGGACCACCGAGGCUGGACAGCCGCGGAGGCGGGCAGGAUGGAGGCCCGGAAGGUCCUGUGACAGCCUCGGGAUCAGGACCCUCUCAGGACACAUUCUGACCCCGGGAGGAGGCCGCCGCCUGAACCUCAGCCAAGACCCAUGCCCCGCGGCCGUCGCCUCUCCGGCUCCUCCGGAGGAUCCUUCAGAAUCCUGGACUGCGUCCCGCGCCCGCGGGGGGACGCCCUGUACCCCGACUCCAGUGAUCCUUUCCAUCCAGCCCUCCUGGGCCACUGGGAGACAGCGAACACUGCAGAGUGCUGGAGGCCUCUGUAACCAAGACUCUCAUAGCUGCCGGUGCCCACGGACUGACGGACGGACGGACAGACGGACGGACGGACGGACGGGUGAGGAUUUCUUCUGCCCAAGCAAGAAGAGCCAGCUGACAGGCCAGGCCACCUCCUUAUUACCUCCGGUCCCCGGAGGAGCCCCGAGCCUGCCAAACUGAAGCCCCAUCCUCCAGAGCAGAGCGGCUGAGAUACCCUGGCCUGAGGCUCUUUUGGAGGACGCCCCAGGAGCUUGGGGGGAGUCUGUUCAGCCCCGCGGCCCUGCCCCGCCUUCCUUCUUUGCCAGCCCCAAGCUCUCCCAAACCCAGCCUCUCUCCAAGGGCAACUCCAAGCAGCGCUGGAAGUUACCGGAGCAGCUUCCUGGGAUCUCCCCAAAGUCAGCCCCUGGCCUUGCGCUCUGGGAACCGCGGGAAGGCAGCGGGAGCUUCUCUGAGGAGCCUUCACGUACUUCAUCUCCAAACUACAGAGCUCAUAAAAAGCCGACGCAUGCAAUAAAUCCUCUCCCGCAGGCCAAGGUUUUAAUUAAUUAUUGGGUGAUUCAAGGUGACUCAUGUGUGAAACUCAAUUUAUCUGCGUAAACUGCCUCUUGCAUCGUCCACCCCAGGAGCGGCUGCUCGGUUUCCUCUGGAGGCUGCUGAAAAACUCGAGUUUAUGCUCUGAGGGUCUGGG
rnacentral:lncRNA from 1 species